UGGCGGCGUGGUUAAGACAUGCAAGUCGAACGGGAUUUUUUGUGUAGUAAUACAUAAAAAGUCUAGUGGCGAACGGGUGCGUAACACGUGAGCAAUCUGCCGGGAAGUGGGGGAUAGCUCGCCGAAAGGCGAAUUAAUACCGCAUGUGGCCAGAGGGGACAUCCCUUCGACGCCAAAGUCGCAAGACGCUUCCUGAUGAGCUCGCGGCCUAUCAGCUUGUUGGUGAGGUAAUGGCUCACCAAGGCUUUGACGGGUAGCUGGUCUGAGAGGACGACCAGCCACACUGGAACUGAGACACGGUCCAGACACCUACGGGUGGCAGCAGUCGAGAAUUUUUCACAAUGGGGGCAACCCUGAUGGAGCGACGCCGCGUGGAGGAUGAAGGUCUUCGGAUUGUAAACUCCUGUCAUGCGAGAGCAAGAAAGUGAUAGUAUCGCAAGAGGAAGAGACGGCUAACUCUGUGCCAGCAGCCGCGGUAAUACAGAGGUCUCAAGCGUUGUUCGGAUUCAUUGGGCGUAAAGGGUGCGUAGGUGGCGUGGAAAGUUGAGUGUGAAAUCCUAGGGCUUAACCUUAGAACUGCACUCAAUACUCCCAUGCUAGAAGAAUGUAGAGGAGAGUGGAAUUCACGGUGUAGCAGUGAAAUGCGUAGAUAUCGUGAGGAAGACCAGUUGCGAAGGCGACUCUCUGGGCAUUUCCUGACACUGAGGCACGAAGGCCAGGGGAGCAAACGGGAUUAGAUACCCCGGUAGUCCUGGNAGUAAACGGUGCACAUUUGGUGUGGGCGGGUUCAGACCCCGUCCGUGCCGGANCUAACGCGUUAAAUGUGCCGCCUGGGAAGUACGGUCGCAAGAUUAAAACUCAAAGAAAUUNGACGGGGGCCCGCACAAGCGGUGGAGU
rnacentral:rRNA from 1 species